CCUGUACCAUCUACUGCUGCCUUCUGGACACUGUUAUCACUUGGCUACAUAGCUGAUGCCUGCUGGACUGUCGAUUAAUCACGCUCUGGCCAUCUGAGGGAGCUCUUAAUCACCCCAGACAUCAGCAGUGCCACUGCAUUCCCACUGCAGUACUUGAUGGACUCCAGCAAAGAUAAUGGCAUCUGUUUUGUCACCAUACUGGUGAUAAGGUUUCUAUCGGAGAUCAGACCUUCAGCCCUAGAUGGACCAUCCCAACAGGCAGCAGAUCUGACAGAAACAUCUCAGCAACUCAUCAGACUAGUCCUGUCUGAGUUCUGUCUGCAUCCAGAUUCUCCAGGACACAGGCAUAUUCCCAGAACCUGAACAUCCAAAGGGUUCAGAGGUGUACAUAAAAAACUCAUGGAGGAGUUUGGCUCUUAUGAAACCCUGCAAGCAGCUAUUUCCUCCCAGGACCCUGCAUUUGACAGAGUCCUGGUAAAGUCCUUGACCCAGCAGCUGGUACAGGGAUGCAAGGAGGCGUCAAGACCAGCUUCUGCUGCAACAAACCCAUCAGACCAGGCUGAGACGGAGAGGGGGGCUGAGCAGAAAGCAUGAAGGAGCUUCCUUUGCUUUUCAAUGACCAAACUCAGGAUCAACUUCAAGUAUAGAAGGGAGUUAGCAUUUGUUUUUUGUUCCAGUUAGGUGCUGAUGUUAUUGAUGUGGCUAUGAUAGGACAUAUACAUUAAAUGUUUUAUUCAUCACUAAAUUGUUGCCUUGGAUUCAGAAGUGUUCCAUUUAUUUAUUCUCUGUACCAUUUUCUUUACCUUUCAUCUGUUAGCGUUCCAAGAGAGCAAACAAAAAGGACUGUCAUUCAGUCCAGGAACAGACUGAGAUUCCCUCUACUGAUGGACAUUGCAUAGAGCGUGAAAUGGGAGGAUCCCCCGGAUGACCAAAAUAAAGUCGUGGAGAACAUGAAGGAUGAAACAGAGACGCAUGAGACCAACAAGAACAGGA